AUGGACCAAUCCAUCCCUUUUUCCCAUGCAUAUGCAUCGGACUCGGAUGACGAUGGUCCCGAUGAAGAAGUUGAUGAGGAGGGGUUCACGCCGAAGGAGGCCCAAGCAUUCAAGAAGGUAUUCGGGAAGGAUCACAAGACACCAUUGUUCAAGGAUCUUAGUCUCGCGGAUGAAGCCGUUGUGGAUGGUGGCAAAUGCAUAUCUCUUGGAGCUAGGCCAAGUUCUCACCGUGAUUUGGAAGAUGGUAAGAACGGGAUAUAUCCCGGUGAGUUUGAAUCCUUCUUGGAAUUGAAGAUGUGGCUUGACAACUAUUCGGUUACACAUUAUCCUCCACAUAAAGUGGCCAACUCGGACGUCAAUGUGCGUUACACGGUCAAAUAUGAAGUGACAAGAUGUCCAUAG
rnacentral:rRNA from 1 species